rnacentral:rRNA from 1 species
AGUGAACGCUGGCGGUAGGCCUAACACAUGCAAGUCGAACGGCAGCACAGUAAGAGCUUGCUCUUACGGGUGGCGAGUGGCGGACGGGUGAGGAAUACAUCGGAAUCUACUUUUUCGUGGGGGAUAACGUAGGGAAACUUACGCUAAUACCGCAUACGACCUACGGGUGAAAGCAGGGGAUCUUCGGACCUUGCGCGAUUGAAUGAGCCGAUGUCGGAUUAGCUAGUUGGCGAGGUAAAGGCCCACCAAGGCGACGAUCCGUAGCUGGUCUGAGAGGAUGAUCAGCCACACUGGAACUGAGACACGGUCCAGACUCCUACGGGAGGCAGCAGUGGGGAAUAUUGGACAAUGGGCGAAAGCCUGAUCCAGCCAUGCCGCGUGAGUGAAGAAGGCCUUCGGGUUGUAAAACCCUUUUGUUGGGAAAGAAAAGCAGCAGGUUAAUACCCCGCUGUUCUGACGGUACCCAAAGAAUAAGCACCGGCUAACUUCGUG